AUUGAACGCUGGCGGCAUGCUUUACACAUGCAAGUCGAACGGCAGCGCGGGCUUCGGCCUGGCAGCGAGUGGCGAACGGGUGAGUAAUACAUCGGAACGUGCCCAGUAGUGGGGGAUAGCUCGGCGAAAGCCGGAUUAAUACCGCAUACGACCUGAGGGUGAAAGCGGGGGAUCUUCGGACCUCGCGCUAUUGGAGCGGCCGAUGGCAGAUUAGCUAGUUGGUGGGGUAAAGGCCUACCAAGGCGACGAUCUGUAGCUGGUCUGAGAGGACGACCAGCCACACUGGGACUGAGACACGGCCCAGACUCCUACGGGAGGCAGCAGUGGGGAAUUUUGGACAAUGGGCGAAAGCCUGAUCCAGCAAUGCCGCGUGUGUGAUGAAGGCCUUCGGGUUGUAAAGCACUUUUGGCGGGAACGAAAAGGACCGUGCCAAUACCACGGUUCGAUGACGGUACCCGCAGAAUAAGCACCGGCUAACUACGUG
rnacentral:rRNA from 1 species